rnacentral:lncRNA from 13 species
GUUUUGAAGUGUCUGUCCUAUAUCUAGGAGACAUAAUAUAUAUAUAAUUUUUUAUUAUAUAUAUAUAUACUUUUUUUUUGUUGAAACAAAACUACCCCUGUACUUCCAUUUAUUUGUAUGGGUUACCUUCAGACGAGUCUGUGACACUUAUGGAGUCAUAUUAGUUUCUAGCCCAAACGGUUCGAUUUUUUGGGAUGUCUCAUGGUCUGACAAACACGACUGUAGAUCGACCACCUUCCACCGCAGAUGUGGAUGUGCUGGAUUGAGACGAAGCCCAUACGGUUCAACUCUACCAUUGAAAUCGUGAUGGUGCCUCUAUGUCACCAAAAGAGAGGUGUUCAGUAUGAAAUACACUCCCUUCUAGAUGUGCUGGGUGGUACCACCUCAAGGCUUACUAUAAAAGCAGAUGACAGCGCGCCUUAUUUGUGUCUGUCCUCACAACAGUGAAUGGAGCCAGCAGCAUACCAUCCUGCAUCCGACUUUUGGCUUGCCUCUCAAGCGAAACAGCGUUGAUCCUGGAUGGGUGACCAGAUGUUGCUGGAAGAGAUGUUGGAGGGCGAGUAGGAGACAGUCUUUCUUCUGGUCAAAAAAUAAAAUAAAAAUUCCAAUGCCCCUGGGCAGUGAUUGGGGAUAUUGCCCUGUGUAGGGUGCUUUCUUUCGAAUGGGACGUUAAACGGGUGUCCUGACUCUCUGUGGUCACUAAAGAUCCCAUGGCACUUAUUGUAAGAGUAGGGGUGUUAACCCUGGUGUUCUGGUUAAAUUCCCAAUCUGGCCCUCAUACCAUCAUGGCCACCUAAUCAUCCCCAGCUUCUAAUUGGCUCAUUCAUCCCCCCUCCUCUCCCCUGUAACUUAUUUUCCCUAGGUUGUUUCUGUAGAUGAGAAUGUGUUCAAAGUCAACUUACCUGGUAAAAAAAAUAAUGCAGGAAAGUCAGCAAAAACACUAAAGUGAAUACUAUAGUAUUUAUACCAUAGUAUACUAUAAUAUUUUUUUAACUUGGGAAGGGCUUCUGAAGAGCGCUGUCAGUGAGUAUGAAAUUCUUGGUUCACUGGAGAUCUUGUUAGUUUGUUGAGCACACGUGUUUUAUUUAAUUAUAAAACUGAAUAUCACUCAUCAUGAGAGUGUAAGUGUAAGUCAUAGGUGCCUCAGAACAUCUGAUAGGGUAUAGCUGAGAUUUUUUUAUGUGUUUUUAUUGAUGGAUGAUAUUAAUCUGAUGGUUAUGUUCACAGCCUUACAAUAACAGUGUGUUCAAUACUGACCAAUUGUCAUCCAAAAAACACAUUUUUAAAUGGUUAGAUUUUUGGUACAUCCUCCUUCUGACGUGUCUCCCUGUCUUUUUCCUCAACAGCAUAUACAUUAACUACUGCAAGCAUGUCGUGGGUUAGGGGCUGGGCUAUGACCAGGGCAGGGCUGGGCCAGGACUGGGUGUAGUCUAUGUCUGUAUAAUCAUGGGGUCCGGACAGUUGUCCAGGGGCUUGUGCUAAUCGGCACUGGGCACGGUGCCCUGCGUCCAGACCAGUACACCAACACACCGUGGCUUUAGAGAGCCUAAAGCCCUGUGGCUCAGUAUGGAACAAUGGAGGGCCCAGUAAUGUGCUGACUCCUAGCCCGUCCUGCAGGCCUGGGCUCCAUUCACCACCACUCUGUAUAAAUAGGCCCGUUUACUCAGGGGUCAGGACAUCGUUUUGUGGAGCCCCCCGUGAGCGCUACACAGCUAUUUUUUUGGGGUAGGUCAGGUAAGCCCUCCAUCUUUAGACCGUUCAGCCUAUAGCCUUUUGCCAGCAUUGUUGUCCAUUUUCAUUGUCCUGUUUUUUCCUUUACUGUUUUCUGCUGAGUCUUGGGAAUGUAUAGAAAGGGUCAUAUGCUCACAAACACAUAGGACACACACACAUACUCUAAAUAGACACACCAAUCGGCAUCACUGUCAACAUCAUGCACUGUCAACAUCACACUAGAAUGCUACUGUAUGUAUGCUGUGACGCCACCAACAGCAUAGUUUAUGUUACACACUCAGAGUGUAACAAUUGCAUGACUUACAGGCACAUGAUACAAUGAUAAUUGAAUUUAUAGCAACUAAUAAAGCACAACAU